rnacentral:rRNA from 1 species
GAUCAAGCUAGAAAGGGCGCACGGGGGAUGUCUUGGCAUCAGAAGGCUUUGAAGGACGUUGAAGGCUGCGAUAUGACUGGGGGAGUUGCCAAACAAACAUUGAUCCCAGUAUUUCCGAACUGACUUACACUGAAUCCAUAGGUGUAAGCCGCCAACGCAGGGAACUGAAACAUCUAAGUACCUGUAGGAACAGAAAGAAAAAUCGAUUCCGUAAGUAGCGGCGAGCGAAAGCGGACUAGCCCAAACUUUGGGGAUUUUCCCCGAAGGGUUGUAGGGUCUUUCAUAUGGAAGUUACCAAGUUGCCGAAUAGUAGAAGCAUGUUGAACGCUGCACCAUAGAGGGUGAUAGUCCCGUACACGAAAUUUGAGCAACCUUCCGAGAGAUACCUGAGUAGGUCGGGUCACGUGAAACCCCGACUGAAUCUGCGGAGACCAUUCCGUAAGGCUAAAUACUCUCUGAUGACCGAUAGUGAACUAGUAGAGCGAUCGAAAGACGAAAAGAACCCCGAUUAAGGGGAGUGAAAUAGAAUCUGAAACCGUGUGCCUACAAGCGGUCGGAGCCCGAUUAAACGGGUGACGGCGUGCCUUUUGCAUAAUGAUCCGGCGAGUUGGCGUAAUCAGCCCGGUUAAGGUGUUCCGCACCGAAGCCAUAGGGAAACCAAGUCUGAAUAGGGCGUUUUGUUGAUUGUGCC